rnacentral:rRNA from 1 species
ACGAACGCUGGCGGCGUGCUUAACACAUGCCAGUCGAACGGUGAAGCGCCUUCCUUUUUGGUGGGUGUGGAUGAGUGGCGAACGGGUGAGUAACACGUGAGUAACCUGCCCCCUUCUUCUGGAUAACCGCAUGAAAGUGUGGCUAAUACGGGAUAUUCUGGGUCUGUCGCAUGAUGGGUCUGGGAAAGAUAUUGUUUCGGUGGGGGAUGGGCUCGCGGCCUAUCAGCUUGUUGGUGGGGUGAUGGCCUACCAAGGCGGUGACGGGUAGCCGGCCUGAGAGGGUGGACGGUCACACUGGGACUGAGACACGGCCCAGACUCCUACGAGAGGCAGCAGUGGGGAAUAUUGCACAAUGGGCGCAAGCCUGAUGCAGCGACGCCGCGUGAGGGAUGGAGGCCUUCGGGUUGUGAACCUCUUUCGCCAGUGAAGCAGGCCUGCCUCGUUUGUGGGUGGGUUGACGGUAGCUGGAUAAGAAGCGCCGGCUAACUACGUG